rnacentral:tRNA from 1 species
CGCGGGGUGGAGCAGUCUGGUAGCUCGUCGGGCUCAUAACCCGAAGGUCGAGGGUUCAAAUCCCUCCCCCGCAA